rnacentral:rRNA from 1 species
CUCCCGCCGGCGACCGGCGCACGGGUGAGUAACACGUAUGAAACCUGCCCGUAGCAGGGGGAUAAGCGGAAGAAAUUCCGUCUAAUACCGCGUAACAACCCGAGGAGGCAUCUCCUCGGGUUUAAAGGAAGCGAUUCCGGCUACGGAUGGUCAUGCGUCGCAUUAGCUAGUUGGUAGGGUAACGGCCUACCAAGCCGACGAUGCGUAGGGGUUCUGAGAGGAAGGUCCCCCACAUUGGAACUGAGACACGGUCCAAACUCCUACGGGAGGCAGCAG